rnacentral:rRNA from 1 species
AUUGAACGCUGGCGGCAUGCCUUACACAUGCAAGUCGAACGGUAACAGGUCUUCGGAUGCUGACGAGUGGCGCACGGGUGAGUAAUACAUCGGAACGUGCCCGAUUGUGGGGGAUAACGGAGCGAAAGCUUUGCUAAUACCGCAUACGAUCUACGGAUGAAAGCAGGGGACCGCAAGGCCUUGCGCGGACGGAGCGGCCGAUGGCAGAUUAGGUAGUUGGUGGGAUAAAAGCUUACCAAGCCGACGAUCUGUAGCUGGUCUGAGAGGACGACCAGCCACACUGGGACUGAGACACGGCCCAGACUCCUACGGGAGGCAGCAGUGGGGAAUUUUGGACAAUGGGCGAAAGCCUGAUCCAGCCAUGCCGCGUGCAGGAUGAAGGCCUUCGGGUUGUAAACUGCUUUUGUACGGAACGAAAAGACUCUUUCUAAUAAAGAGGGUCCAUGACGGUACCGUAAGAAUAAGCACCGGCUAACUACGUG